UCCGUAGGCGGUGCGGCAAGUCGGUAGUGAAAUCUCUGGGCUUAACCCAGAGGCUGCUGCCGAAACUGCCGUGCUCGAGUGUGAGAGAGGCGAGUGGAAUUACGGGUGUAGCGGUGAAAUGCGUAGAUAUCCGUAGGAACAUCCGAGGCGAAAGCGGCUCGCUGGAUCACAACUGACGCUGAGGGACGAAAGCUAGGGGAGCAAACAGGAUUAGAUACCCUGGUAGUCCUAGCCCUAAACCAUCAGGACUUGGGGUUUGCCCUGUACGGGGCAAGUCCCGGAGCUAACGCGUUAAGUCCUGCGCCUGGGGAGUACGGUCGCAAGGCUGAA
rnacentral:rRNA from 1 species